GAUGAACGCUGGCGGCGUGCCUAAUACAUGCAAGUCGAGCGAACAGACGAGAGUGCUUGCACUCUCUGACGUUAGCGGCGGACGGGUGAGUAACACGUGGGUAACCUACCUAUAAGACUGGGAUAACUUCGGGAAACCGGAGCUAAUACCGGAUAAUAUUUAGCUUCGCAUGAAGCAAUAGUGAAAGACGGUUCUGCUGUCACUUAUAGAUGGACCCGCGGUGUAUUAGCUAGUUGGUGAGGUAACGGCUCACCAAGGCAACGAUACAUAGCCGACCUGAGAGGGUGAUCGGCCACACUGGGACUGAGACACGGCCCAGACGCCUACGGGAGGCAGCAGUAGGGAAUCUUCCGCAAUGGACGAAAGUCUGACGGAGCAAUGCCGCGUGAGUGAAGAGGUUUUCGGAUCGUAAAACUCUGUUGUAAGGGAAGAACAAGUACGUUAGUAACUGAACGUACCUUGACGGUACCUUACCAGAAAGCCACGGCUAACUACGUG
rnacentral:rRNA from 1 species